rnacentral:lncRNA from 1 species
AACACACAGUGAGAACACAGGGUGGGAACACACAGUGAGAACACAGGGUGGGGAGAUACUCAACAUAGAAUAUGCACUUAUAUGUAAACAUUAGUAUUUUAAGAAGAAGUUCUUAAUUCAUCUCUUCCUGGCACUUGAAAGGACAGGUCCCCGGAAGGCAAUCAUGUGAAUUCAGUCAUCAGUUACAUUUCGCCAAGAAUUAAGUCACCCAUCAGCUGACUCAAGGCUUCAACACAUGUCUAAGCUCAGAGAUGCUACUGGUCUCUUCCACGACUUGUUCAAGAUGGAUCUAACACUGAUGAACCCCAUGCCAACAAUUUGCUUCCCAACGUAAAGCUAACUUGGAGUGUGGGAGACGCACACUGAAAUCAUUCUCCUCGUAAGCAAGAGACCUGCAUUAUACAACUUACGUUAACUCAUCAUGGUGAUGCUCUUAGCAUUACUCUCUAAACCCACCUUUUCCCUAAAAGAAUACAUACAUCAUCUUUUAAUAUUCUACUACCCUGACCAAACAAAGAAAUAACAAUAAUUUUUAUUUUCAUACAUACUAAAAUUAUUUUUAGGUGGGUUGUUAAUGAUUAGUAAAAAUCUUCUUUCCCCACAGACAUUAUCAUUAACUUGGGCUCACGAUAAGCGGCCAUCACAGGCUCAGAAGUGGACUUUACCCAUCUUGGACACAAAGCAGUGUUUGUACCAGAAUAAAACGGAAUAUGACUCAUAUACAAAUGGAGAACCUUGAAGCCUAUGAUGUACAUUAUAGAAAGCAGAAAUAGGAAAUGAUGCUGUGCAUUCUAGGUUGAUCCUUUCUAUAAUUAACAAUGUAUUUCUUUCAGGGUUAGUCUUUGUGACUCGUGAGGUGACUACACUAACACCUGGUGUUGAUAAGAUGGCAUGAAAACAGCCAGCUCUGGAAGUCGUGCGGAGUGAUGGCUCAGAAGUGAAUAGUGCUUGCUGCUCUUUCCAAGGACCCGAGAUGGGUUACCAGCACCCAUGUUCUCCAGAUCACAGUCUUCGCUAACUCCAGCUCCAGGGCUUCUAACCCCCUCUUCUGGCCUCCAUGGUACCUUUACUCAUGUGCCUGACAUCCUCCCACACAUACUUAAUGAAAAAUUAGAAUUAAAUCUUUAAUAAUAAUAAUAAAGAGUCCCGGA